ensembl:lncRNA
GAGUUCCGUGCCAAUUAGCUGUGUGCUUUCAUGUUUUCCUGCUCUGCCUUGCUUUUUGUAUUGUUGCUUUGCCAGUGUUCGGUUCAUCAGUUUUUUGUUCGUUUUUGCCUUGGAUCUUCUGUGCGUUAACCUUGUGAAUAAAUCCUGAAUUCUUCCCUACAUAUGGUCUGCAAUUGGGUCUCUGCCUUACGAAUCGUGACAAGAACUGCCCACCGGAAACACGGAACAUGGGGUAAAAACAACAUGGGGACACAUUUUCAUUCAUGCUUUCAUAACAAUAAAGUAACAGGUGUCGUGUAUUCCCACCUGACUGUAUUUAACGGGACGCUAAGGAGUGCUAACCUCAAUGACAGGUGCAAAACAUGCUAGGUCUCAUACCAAUCAACCUAGGUAGCUAGCUCUGAAGUAUCCUAGCUAUCUCUAACUUAGGGAACCAUCUUAGGCAGCAGCUAGCAUGUGUUAAUAUGAACUCGUGUUGAUACGUGUGAAAAUUAACUUGUGUUAAUAUGAAGCUGCACAGGAACCCUGAGGGAUUCUACCUUUUCCUAUCAUAAUUUUAUAAAUCGAGGUUAAAUUGAGGUGACUGAACCCGAGACUACAGUGAAGAUAAAGGUGAAAAUGCAGGGUAGACCGUCCUUGGAGUCUCCUGAGCUGGACUUGCAGAGUCCAAACUCCCAAGAACAGCAGACCAUAGCUGACGUACUCCGUAUUGAGAAAUGCCCUUGAUCUCACUUGAAAACAGCCCUGAAAGAGGUCCUACAGGGGUGGUUCCUGUGGAACAUACACAAAGGAUCCAGAGAUGCCGAAACACCCUCCAGUUUGAAAGAAGAAGAAAGUCAUUCUAAGUCUGACAUUUGAAGCUAGAAAAGGAAUACAUUUCUGUGAGAUAUGAACCUGUUCUCUUUACUGAAUAAUUCUCUUUCUACAAAACGCUUUCUGGAGCUUGAACUCCAUUAUGCAUAUGGCACAUGUCAACAUUUGUAUGUAUAAAUGUUUUGUGAACUUGUUUGUGAACUGUAUAUACAUUUACAUAUUUAUGUACUCCUUCUUUUGUGAACUGUAUAUGAAUUUGCACUUGCUAUUAUCUUAAUCUCAAAUCACCAAAGGUGUUUUUGGAGAAAAAAAGGAGCAGCAUUUGAUGAAAAGUACCCCUUAGGCAUGUGGGUGAAUAUAUUCUGGUUUGGGAUUUUUCUACCAGCGAGUAGCACAGGAAGCAUAUAAAUGAAGGGACGAAUGGAUUACACUAAUUUUCAGCAAUGUCAGAAGGCAAAUGUCAUGCAGUCAGUCAAGAAACUGAAGCCUACAAGUUGUUGGUUUUCACAACAGGAUUCAAAGUAUACCUCCAAAUACACAAUCAAGUACUUCAAGAAAUGCUUCAAGAAACAGUUGCUUUUUGAAUGCCCUGCAGUCCCCAAACUGUUUGAAAAUCUGUUUCCCCAAAAUGUUUGAAAAUCUGUUGGUAAACUGAAACAUGAUGCAUAUGCAAUAUGUAUAUGUAUCUCAGAACAGUGAUGUGAUGUGCAAGGAAGAGUGGGUGAAAUCUCAUAAAAUCAAGAAUUAAGAGACUUUUAGUGCCCAACAGAAAUCAUUUGCGAGCUGUGAUAUCUGCUUAAGGAGUCUUACUAAGUGCUGAUUCAGUAGGGUGUUCAAACCUUUGCCCAGGCCCCAAUGUCAUCUUAUGUGUAGCGCCAUCGUUUGUUAUUCAAGUGGCCAAACCCGGGGACUGCAUCAGAACACGAACAACGGUCUGGAUUUGGAAAAGUUAAACGUAGAGAACCUUUGGUAUUGAGGAAAAGCUUGUACAGAAAAUGAGCUUUGUGAGUGACCAAAGGGCCCUGACUGCCAUGAUGCCAUUAAAUGAAAAGGGAAAAAGUGAAGAGUGAACACUAAAGAUGCAGAGAGAAGGAAAAGAAGAGAGUAUAGCCAUGUCUACCCGCCAUUCCAGUUUGCCCUGUUUGACCGCAUCUAUCCACUGUGUUUCACCCAGCUGUGGCUUUGGAGAGAAGCAAGUACUCAGCCAUAUAGAGCCUGAGGGAGGCUUGAAUUGAACUUGAAUGUGGACUUUGAUGCCUACCAAGAGUUGUAUGAAACUAUUCCUGGGAUCUUCAUUGUUCACAAGUUUUCUUCUUCAGUUUCACAAUGAACGCUGUUUUUGUCAUGAAGAUAGACUGUUAAAAUGAGGUAAUAAUGUAAGGGACGGGAUGGUGUUCAUGAUUAUGAUGAUUAUAAUUAUGCUGUUGCUGAUGCUGAUGAUUAGGAUGGUGUUGAAGCACUAAGGAUGUCCAUGAAAAACAAAACCUCUUCAUGCCCCGAUGAGACUGUAUUAAUCGGUGGCACAUGUUCAUCCAUAAUUACCAUUACAGCCAUUAUGCUCACAUAUUCCCCAUUCCACGUGGGUAAAUAUGCCAAGAGCACCAAAACAUCUGCUGCACAUUGUAUUCAGUGCACAUAGCUGACAGUGAUGUAAUCCUCUUCGCUGCCAUUAUAACACAUGUGAUAUAACCUUGUUGAUAAAAUGCGUCCUUUUUGUAAAAAAUCUACACGAGGAGCAGAGAAAUAAAUGUCCCUGAUGGAACAGAGAGAGACACCUGUGGAGAAAGAAAGAGAGAUACGAGGCCGAUAACCAGGAGGCUACAGCAGGCAGUGCACGGGAAAGCAUCAGCACGGAUAAUCUUGCGGUCACAAAAUAUCGGAAAUGUGUGAUGCAUGGUCCGUUUUUCAAGGAUGGGAAAUG